AACGAACGCUGGCGGCAUGCCUAACACAUGCAAGUCGAACGAGACCUUCGGGUCUAGUGGCGCACGGGUGCGUAACGCGUGGGGACCUGCCCUUAGGUUCGGAAUAACUCCCCGAAAGGGGUGCUAAUACCGGAUAAUGUCUUCGGACCAAAGAUUUAUCGCCUUUGGAUGGGCCCGCGUUGGAUUAGCUAGUUGGUAGGGUAAAAGCCUACCAAGGCGACGAUCCAUAGCUGGUCUGAGAGGAUGAUCAGCCACACUGGGACUGAGACACGGCCCAGACUACUACGGGAGGCAGCAGUGGGGAAUAUUGGAAAAUGGGCGAAAGGCUGAUCCAGCAAUGACGCGUGAGUGAUGAAGGCCUUAGGGUUGUAAAGCUCUUUUACACGGGAUGAUAAUGACAGUACCGGGAGAAUAAGCUCCGGCUAACUCCGUG
rnacentral:rRNA from 1 species